rnacentral:lncRNA from 1 species
GAGAAACAAAGGACUUGGCUUACAUCUCCUACAGCCCAGAACCCUCUGGGCACAGAGCUUUGCAAAAGUUAUAUUUGGGUGUGAGGUAGGAGGUCAAAAAGCCUGUGGGUUUGUCCACAGUGAGAGGAAAGAUGAAAGAAAACAAGUGUAGACACCCGGUAAGUCUGCCAUCUUGUGUGUGUGUGUGUGUGUGUGUGUAGGGGGGUAUCCUUUCUUGAUUCCACUUCCUCUUCCAGCUACUGCCUCAUUUCUUUGCUCCCUUUUAUAACUAAACUCCAAAAAAUUGCUUGGAUUCACUGUCUCCAAUUUCUCCCUCCCCGUUUGCUCUUAAGCCCCCUCAACUUCGGAUUUCUCACUUCCUAUUUUCUCCCCAACCUACUUUUGUCAGGGAUACUGUACAACCUCCUUGUGAUUAUUAAGUCCUUUGGCCAGUUUUCUGGUCUCAUCUUACCGCAUCAGCAGCGUUUCAUACUGUGAUGGCAAAACCAGACAUGGUUGUGAAAUGAAAUGAUAAAAACGGUAUGGUAAGAGGGGGCUGGGGUUGUGGCUCCUUGGUAGAGCCCUUGCCUAGCAAGUGUGAGGCCCUGGGUUCUAUCCUCAGCACCAUAUAAAAAUAAAUAAAAGAAAAGAAAAACGUUAUAAGAAAACAAGGCCUGGGGAAAGGGUCAGUUCCCCUCUCUUUGCCUUUCUCUAGGGAGCCUAAUUAACCGCAGGUCCUUAUCUUUUGGAUUGUAAAUAACUGCCCUGGCAGUCUGAAUACUCCCUCUUGAAAUGUAACAGACGUCUGUGAAAAGAGCCAUUACUUAUCUGUUUCUGUAAGCAUGCCUUAUGUUAGAGACCCUUGCACAAAGGAAAAAAGCUCCAAUGAUAGAACAAGUCUAAGGUGAUGCCAAAGAACCUAUAAAUUUUGUGAAAAACUGUGGAUCAGAGCUCAGAAUUUGGAGUUUUGUUUUCCUCUGAGCUGCCUGGUGUAAAACAAUGUUUGGAGUUCCCCUCCUCUCUGAGUGCUGUUUGCUGCUUCUUGAUCAGUCUGUUUCCCCCAACAAUACAGUUAACCACCCCUCCUCAUCCUCAAAACACUUGGAUUCUAGAUCAUCCUGUUCUCCUUCCCAGGAUACCUCCAGCCCCAAUGCUCUUCUCAUGCCACUUCAGCCUGAAAGUUGCACCUACUCAGUGUCUUGCUGAUUUCACUCUCAUUUUUUUUUCAGGGAUGUGCUUGAAUACCAACUCUUCAAUGAAGUGUUCCCCAAUGACUUGAUGAAAGUAUGCCUUCUUCCCAGCCCUAACCAAUUUAUCUCCCUUUCCUGCUAAACCCUAACCUUUUCUGUUUUGAAGUACUGAGGAUUGAACCUGGUGACACUCUACCACUGAGCCACAUUUCUCCCUUUUAAAAAAAUAUUAAUAUAUAUAUUUAAUAUGGUGCUGGGAAUUAGAACCCAGGGCCUUAUGCAUGCGAGGCAAGCACUCUACCAACUGAGCUAUAUCUUCAGCUCUCCCUAGCCCUUUUUAUAUUUUAUUUAGAGACAGAGUCUCACUGAGUUGCUUAGGGGCUCAUUAAGUUGCUGAGGCUGGCUUUGAACUCAGGAUUUUCCUGCCUCAGCCUCCCAAGUUGCUGGGUUGAAGGCAUGUGCCACUGUGCCUGCCCCUCCCCACACCCAGCCCUUUUUAUUUUUUAUGUUAAGAUAGUGUCUUGCUGGGCUGGGGAUGUGGCUCAAGCGGUAGCGCGCUGGCCUGGCAUGCAUGCGGCCCGGGUUCGAUCCUCAGCACAACAUACGAACAAAGAUGUUGUGCCCGCCGAAAACUAAAAAAUAAAUAUUAAAAAAAAU